ensembl:snoRNA
GAGCAGUAAGAGCAGUAAAAGGUCUGAUUGCCCAGGCGCCCCUGCCUCCCGGCUGGCCCCGGCUGCCUCUCAUGGGCUCUAGCUGUGCUCUGUGGGCAGAGGUGCUGCUGACACUGUGGGAUAUGUCCGUCCUGCCUGCCCUGCUGAGCCUUGGUACAGCGCUGUGGGUGACAUCCAACAGCACUGUCACCAAGGGAUCUGAUGGCUGGGAGUGCUGGCAGCUGUGGUGUGAUCUGCCAUUUCAGACUGAGGCC